CAGCAGCCGCGGUAAUUCCAGCACCCCGAGUGGUCGGGACGAUUAUUGGGCCUAAAGCAUCCGUAGCCGGUCAUGCAAGUCCUCCGUUAAAUCCACCUGCUUAACAGAUGGGCCGCGGAGGAUACUACAAGGCUAGGAGGCGGAAGAGGCAAGCGGUACUCAGUGGGUAGGGGUAAAAUCCUCUGAUCCAUUGAAGACCACCAGUGGCGAAGGCGGCUUGCCAAUACGCGCUCGACGGUGAGGGAUGAAAGCUGGGGGAGCAAACCGGAUUAGAUACCCGGGUAGUCCCAGCUGUAAACGAUGCAGACUCGGUGAUGGGCCGGCUUUAUGCCGGCUCAGUGCCGCAGGGAAGCCGUUAAGUCUGCCGCCUGGGGAGUACGGUCGCAAGACUGAAACUUAAAUGAAUUGACGG
rnacentral:rRNA from 1 species